rnacentral:tRNA from 1 species
GCCGGGGUGGUGGAAUGGAAGACACAGAGGACUUAAAAUUCUCUGCCCCUAAAAGGGCGUGCGGGUUCGAGUCCCGCCCCCGGCACCA